rnacentral:lncRNA from 1 species
ACGGCGAGGGGCACGAGGUCAUGGCACCUGCUCCGGUAACGGCGAGGGGCACGAGGCCAUGGCACCUGCUACUAUGAGGGCGAGGGGGCACGAGGCCUGCCGGUUUGAUAAUGUUGGGAGUGGCGGCUUCAGCUAAGCCAAGUCUCCACCAGCGAACUGGAUGUGUAUUGGCUUGCAGUACUUCAGAGCGCUUCUAUUCCAGCAGCACAUGUAGGUUUCCAUAUUUUCUCUUUCUCUUUCUCUCUCUCUCAAUUUCUUUCUGUUCAGGACUAACAAGUCUACAGUAAAUCAGGAUCCUGGUUCUCUCUCUAGGGGCCUCUAGGGGAGGGGCCUCUGUCGUGGCUUUACCCUCUCCUGGCCCCGACAGUAGCUGUCCUGCAGGACUCGCCAAGGUGUAGACACAGAAGUUAUGAAGUAACUUACAGCGAUACUUGGUCACACAAAUGGGACCCACUGAGCACAAACAUCAAUUGAACGUCUAUUCCACGUUGGUUCCACGUCAACCAGUGUGUGCCCAGCGGGGAUCUUUUACAGUGCUAUGGUAAAGAAACAGUGGACCAAACAAGGGAAUGGUAAAUGGGGAAUGGUGGUAAGUACACACACAGGAAAGAGGAGACGUGGAAGCAGAAGGAACGAAAGGAUAUACAGUGCCUUCAGAAAGUAUUCACACCCUUUGACAUUUUCCACAUUUUGUUGUGUUACAGGCUGAAUUUAAAAUGGAUUAAAUUGAGAUGUUGUGUCACUGGCCUACACACAAUACCCCAUAAUACCAAAGUGGAAUUGUUUUUAGACAUUUUUACAAAUUAAUAAAAAAUGAAAAGCUGAAAUGACUUGAG